GCAUGGGUUGGCAUCGCGUGAAAUCGUUCCCGCCCACGAAUGGCGUCGUGAAAUAAUUCCCAGGAGGUGGGGAGCCAAUUACUAGGAAGAUCAAAGGCUUGCCCGCCCCAUCUCUUGGCUCAGGAGUUGCUCCACGGCCUGUGGUCACUGUCUCUUGGAGGAAGUCAUGCCCCGCACGCCAUCUAUUCUCUUGAUCGCGAGCACCAUCGCCUGUGCGUCACCGGAGCCGGGCGCUGAGUUGCUCAACAUGCACACAGCACAU
rnacentral:misc_RNA from 1 species